CGUUUGCACCGUUGCCCUUCUAACCUGACCGUCUUUAGCACGGGUCACUUCUAGAACGCGUCCCAUUGGCCAGGUAUUCCUCGGUAAAUUCCCGUCCGCGAUUACCACUACGUCUCCCACCUGGAUCGGCGGCACCGGGUGGAACCAUUUCGUCCUGCGGGGCACCCCAUAACGACCGUAUUGAAGUCGGCGAAUCAUCGAAAAAAGCGGCUGCUUUACUCCCAUCGGCACUACCGAGCAAUAAGUGGUUCGGCGUUAUCGGACAGUCCAGCUCAUCGUCGAUCGGCGUCUUUGAGCUCUCUCGCCGCCCCGACGAAGUUGGUACCCCGAUCGCUUAUUAUCUCCCUCGGCGAGCCUCUUCUUGCGAUGAACCGGCGGAUAGCUAAAAUACAGGAAGCAGUUGUUAGUGCAUGAGCUACUUCGAG